rnacentral:misc_RNA from 1 species
GCCGGCCCGACCACUCGC